rnacentral:rRNA from 1 species
GAUGAACGCUGGCGGCGUGCCUAAUGCAUGCAAGUCGAGCGAACAGACGAGGAGCUUGCUCCUCUGACGUUAGCGGCGGACGGGUGAGUAACACGUGGAUAACCUACCUAUAAGACUGGGAUAACUUCGGGAAACCGGAGCUAAUACCGGAUAAUAUAUUGAACCGCAUGGUUCAAUAGUGAAAGACGGUUUUGCUGUCACUUAUAGAUGGAUCCGCGCCGCAUUAGCUAGUUGGUAAGGUAACGGCUUACCAAGGCAACGAUGCGUAGCCGACCUGAGAGGGUGAUCGGCCACACUGGAACUGAGACACGGUCCAGACUCCUACGGGAGGCAGCAGUAGGGAAUCUUCCGCAAUGGGCGAAAGCCUGACGGAGCAACGCCGCGUGAGUGAUGAAGGUCUUCGGAUCGUAAAACUCUGUUAUUAGGGAAGAACAAAUGUGUAAGUAACUAUGCACGUCUUGACGGUACCUAAUCAGAAAGCCGCGGCUAACUACGUG